rnacentral:rRNA from 1 species
CUAGUUGGUGGGGUAAAGGCCUACCAAGGCGACGAUCCAUAGCUGGUCUGAGAGGAUGAUCAGCCACAUUGGGACUGAGACACGGCCCAAACUCCUACGGGAGGCAGCAGUGGGGAAUAUUGGACAAUGGGCGCAAGCCUGAUCCAGCCAUGCCGCGUGAGUGAUGAAGGCCUUAGGGUUGUAAAGCUCUUUCACCGGAGAAGAUAAUGACGGUAUCCGGAGAAGAAGCCCCGGCUAACUUCGUGCCAGCAGCCGCGGUAAUACGAAGGGGGCUAGCGUUGUUCGGAAUUACUGGGCGUAAAGCGCACGUAGGCGGAUAUUUAAGUCAGGGGUGAAAUCCCAGAGCUCAACUCUGGAACUGCCUUUGAUACUGGGUAUCUUGAGUAUGGAAGAGGUAAGUGGAAUUCCAAGUGUAGAGGUGAAAUUCGUAGAUAUUCGGAGGAACACCAGUGGCGAANGCGGCUUACUGGUCCAUUACUGACGCUGAGGUGCGAAAGCGUGGGGAGCAAACA